AGUGGGGAAUAUUGCACAAUGGGCGCAAGCCUGAUGCAGCGACGCCGCGUGAGGGAUGACGGCCUUCGGGUUGUAAACCUCUUUCAAUAGGGACGAAGCGCAAGUGACGGUACCUAUAGAAGAAGGACCGGCCAACUACGUGCCAGCAGCCGCGGUAAUACGUAGGGUCCGAGCGUUGUCCGGAAUUACUGGGCGUAAAGAGCUCGUAGGUGGUUUGUCGCGUUGUCCGUGAAAACUCACAACUCAAUUGUGAGCGUGCGGGCGAUACGGGCAGACUGGAGUACUGCAGGGGAGACUGGAAUUCCUGGUGUAGCGGUGGAAUGCGCAGAUAUCAGGAGGAACACCGGUGGCGAAGGCGGGUCUCUGGGCAGUAACUGACGCUGAGGAGCGAAAGCGUGGGGAGCGAA
rnacentral:rRNA from 1 species